UGGUGCCAGCAGCCGCGGUAAUUCCAGCUCCAAUAGCGUAUAUUAAAGUUGUUGCAGUUAAAAAGCUCGUAGUUGAAUUUCGGGAUCAAUGUUUCGGUCAUGCCGUUGGUAUGUACUGAUAUUAUUGGUUUCUCACCUUCUAAAGAACCGUAAUGCCAUUAAUUUGGUGUCACGGGGAAUUAGGACUGUUACCUUGAAAAAAUUAGAGUGUUUAAAGCAGGCUCACGCUUGAAUACAUUAGCAUGGAAUAAUGAAAUAGGACAUCCGAUUCUAUUUUGUUGGUUUCUAGGAUCGAUGUAAUGAUUAAUAGGGAUAGUUGGGGGCAUUAGUAUUCAAUUGUCAGAGGUGAAAUUCUUGGAUUUAUUGAAGACUAACUACUGCGAAAGCAUUUGCCAAGGAUGUUUUCAUUAAUCAAGAACGAAAGUUAGGGGAUCGAAGACGAUCAGAUACCGUCGUAGUCUUAACCAUAAACUAUGCCGACUAGGGA
rnacentral:rRNA from 1 species